CACGUAGGCACCAAGCGUUGUCCGGAUUUAUUGGGCGUAAAGAGCUCGUAGGCGGUUCAGUAAGUCGGGUGUGAAAGCCCUGGGCUCAACCCAGGAAGUGCAUUCGAAACUGCAAAGCUGGAGUCCUGGAGAGGAAGGCGGAAUUCUCGGUGUAGAGGUGAAAUUCGUAGAUAUCGAGAGGAACACCGGUGGCGAAGGCGGCCUUCUGGACAGUGACUGACGCUGAGACGCGAAAGCGUGGGGAGCAAACAGG
rnacentral:rRNA from 1 species